rnacentral:lncRNA from 1 species
ACUUGUGUUAGGUAUGAUUAUUGUAUAUAUUGUAGAAGGUCUUAUUUUGCAUUUAUUAAUUGGUAUUAUUAAUUGGCAUUUCAGAAACCUGGUUAACUAAUCUGACGUCUGAGCAAUUUAAUAUGCCAUACUUUGAGUUUAUUUCAUGUUGCCAUGACACACGGCAAGGUAGAGGGAUUGGUCUCUAUUUAAAUAAAAAAUUACAUGUUAGAGUAAGACAUGACUUAGGUGUUAAUGAUGAUAAUAUUUGCCAAUCACAAUUUGUUGAAUUGACAUUAACAAACAAAACAAUAAUUAUAGGAAUAAUAUAUAGGCCAGCAAGUAGUAAUUUGCAUACAUUUGUAGAUUAUUUGAAUGAGGAGCUUGGCUCACUUGCCAUUAUAUAGGCCAGCAAGUAGUAAUUUGCAUACAUUUGUAGAUUAUUUGAAUGAGGAGCUUGGCUCACUUGCCAUUAUAUAGGCCAGCAAGUAGUAAUUUGCAUACAUUUGUAGAUUAUUUGAAUGAGGAGCUUGGCUCACUUGCCAUUAUAUAGGCCAGCAAGUAGUAAUUUGCAUACAUUUGUAGAUUAUUUGAAUGAGGAGCUUGGCUCACUUGCCAUUAUAUAGGCCAGCAAGUAGUAAUUUGCAUACAUUUGUAGAUUAUUUGAAUGAGGAGCUUGGCUCACUUGCCAUUAUAUAGGCCAGCAAGUAGUAAUUUGCAUACAUUUGUAGAUUAUUUGAAUGAGGAGCUUGGCUCACUUGCCAUUAUAUAGGCCAGCAAGUAGUAAUUUGCAUACAUUUGUAGAUUAUUUGAAUGAGGAGCUUGGCUCACUUGCCAUUAUAUAGGCCAGCAAGUAGUAAUUUGCAUACAUUUGUAGAUUAUUUGAAUGAGGAGCUUGGCUCACUUGCCAUUAUAUAGGCCAGCAAGUAGUAAUUUGCAUACAUUUGUAGAUUAUUUGAAUGAGGAGCUUGGCUCACUUGCCAUUAUAUAGGCCAGCAAGUAGUAAUUUGCAUACAUUUGUAGAUUAUUUGAAUGAGGAGCUUGGCUCACUUGCCAUCUUAAGUAUGGCAAGUGAGCCAAGACACACUGCAGGACACACUCCAAUGUCCCUGUCUUCAAUAUGCUGAUGACACAACUUUUCUCAUCCACUGUAAACCAUCAUCAUCUACACCUGUGCGCAAAUGAGGUGAAUGAUGCCAUUUUCAGACUACAUGAAUAUUCUGAGGGAUGCAAUCUUGCACUAAAUUUAUCAAAGACAAAAUGGAUGGUAAUUUCCACGCAACAGAUGUCACGUAUACAUAAACUGGAUGAACGACUACCACCGAUUAUGUGUGAUGACACCCCCAAGUUGCUUGGUGUGUAUAUGGACCAACAUCUCGCGUGUGGUGAUAAAGUUAACAACUUGUUGUCCAGUUGUUAUUCGACAAUGCUGGAGAGAGAUAGAGAGACAGUGCUAGAGGGAGAGAGAGAUAUCUUCAAGCCAACGUGUAAUGUUCUGUUUAUUAUAUAGUUCCAAGCCAAAAAUUGUAUAAAUCCUAAAAGUCACGUGAUCGAGAUAUCUUCACUGAUGAAGAUAUGGAAAGAGGGCCCUGAAGGGGUAAAAUGGGAACUGGGAUUGAUCUAUUUUUAGACUGGGAAAAUGGGAUUUGGGUUGCUGGGAGUGGGAUUUGGCCACUGGGAAUGGGAAAUGAAGU